GCCAUAGUAGUAUAAAGGCUAUUAUGCCUGCCUCGUAAGCAGGGGAUGGCGGUUCAAAUCCGCCUUAUGGCU
rnacentral:tRNA from 1 species